CUCUAUAAAAUAUUAAGUCACAUUUGUAAUCGCCUUCCAUCAUUAUAGUGAAAAACCAGAGUCCCAAAUCGUCUCAGCUUGUUGAGUACACUCAAGGCUGGUCCAUUAGGGAUAUGUUUGACACUAUGAAAUAUUUGAUAUUUCUGAAUGAUGGGUUUGACUUAACUAAAAUUUAUCUUUUGUUGAGUACACUCAAGGAGAUAAAUUUUAGAGGCAAGUUAAGCUAACACAUAAGAUGUGUGAAAACAAAGAGUUGUCAGCUAAAUUAUCUGGGAGUUGUAUGGAGAUACAAUUGAUAAUAGUAUCUACCCAAAUAUAAUAUUAGGGCUUGUUGAGUACACUCAAGGUCUUAAUAUAAUAGAUGGGAUCCCAACCCACUGGGAGUCAAGCAUGGACUCCAUAAAUUUAUGUGAGAGGGUCAUAAAUUUUAUUUAAACAGUGGGAGCAUAAUUAAUUUAAUAAAAGACCAUAUUAAAUUAAUUAAUGCAUU
rnacentral:lncRNA from 1 species